UGAAAUAUUAAUGUACUCCUCAGGACCACAUAUUUUGACCAUAAUUCCAGAUCUGUUUGCGGAUACUACUGUGCUUGAACAUCGUCCGGUGGGAGAAACUAACUCCUUGGAAAAGAUUAAUUAUGGCUACUGUCGAUGUCUAGCAAGACAAGCUCACCACUUCUAACCUUCACGCUUCAAAGCCGUCAAAACCUAAAAUAUAUGGGAAGAAAAAAGUCUUCUACCCCAACAAAUGCAGAGGAAGAGUAUAUGAAAGAGAGUCCAUAGUCAGGUAGCCUUCAAGAAGUAAAAAGGAUGUUGCAUAAUAUGGGAGCCAGCCAGACUAAAGUGUCUGCUAGGCUUGAUAGACAGCACAAGGACAUGAAAUACUUGUAAAAUAUUAAGGAAGCGAGGAAGGAUUCUGCAACACUUUGUGAUGAUACUGCAAUACUGCGUAAACAAAUGGAUGGACUGGAAGGAAAAGUGAUUGGACUCGAGGAGGAAGUGAAUGUAUUAAAGAAGGAAAAUAAUGAAAAGAAUCAGAAAUCAAAAGAUGUGUCAGAUUCAGGAAGUACACGAGUCUGUUCGCAUGAACAAUGUGAUUAUGACUGGCCUUCAGAUAACACGCAUGCCUAAUGGAAAAGCAGCUGAUAACAGAGGAUAAGAACAAUAUGCUGCUACUUCAACAGUGCAACAGAUGGACAACACUCUGAGAUCAAAGGGGAUGAAUGUGUUAACAACAUCGAAACAUGCAUUCCAAUGUCUGGCAGGAAUAAGGCCACACAUGUCAUCAUCAUUUGUCCACCAACAAAACGGCUUUGUGGACGCAGCAAGUCAAAAUGAAGGGAACAAACGUCUACAUCAAUGAGUAUCUGACAAAACACAAUGCUGACAUCGCCAAAAAGGCACACUAGUUGAGGAAGCAGGGAAAAUUUCAGGGGCCUUGAAGUGCUAACUGUAAAAUCUACAUCAAGUUAAAAUGUAGGACAGGAUUCAGAAGUGAAAGUACGUGUUGUUAAAGACAUUAAGGAACUGGACAAAUACAGAAGAUGACUUUAUCUCCACUGCAAGGACAUAAUCAGACUGGGGGGAGCAGGCAGGGCAGAAUCUUCUCGACUGCAGACGUGGAGACAUAAGAGGAGGAACUCAGGGGAUCCUUCUCCUUGCUACAAAAAGAGGAUAAUGACAAGAUGGAGACGUAAGGAGCGAGGAAAUUACUUAAAGAGGGGAGAACAGAGGCCCUGAAUAGAAAGUUAUGUUAUUAUCAUGUGGUGUUAUGUUAUAAAAACUCAUGAUAUCAUGUUAUGUUGUGCUAUUCUACGAUAUAUUAUGUUUCACAUCAAAUGUUUUUUUUAGUAUGUUAUGUGUUUUUUUUUUCCUGCCACUCAUAUCAGCAUGGUAAUUGAUGGAAAACUACUGGAAAAAAGCAAUAUUGGGGAAGUUAGCAAACAAUUGAUGAGGAGUUAUGACGCUAACUUAAGGAUAAUGUUGAUUUUUUUUUAAAAAAGCAGUCAUCAAACUGUCAAGCAGCUAAGACGGCAGUUAUCACCUUUAAUUCUAAGCUUCCAGCUGUUAAUAUACUCAUACUAAAAUCAUGAUUUUAAAAUUGGAUUUGUCUUUGAUUUUGGUUUGAAAAAUAAAAGAGGUGUGUCACC